rfam:Myotis davidii contig197422, whole genome shotgun sequence.
GGUGGUUCUCAGGUUAUGAACCCCAGAAUGGGGCUCCUUCCUCUCUGGUUCUGGGUUCAUCACCAGGGAACCACA